UGCAAAUCUAUUUGAAGUCAAAUGAAGUGGUUACUGAUAGUGAAUUUUGUGUUGUUACUUUUGUUGUUUGCUGAGGGAAGUCCGCGCCCGGACCCGCAUCCAGAUCCCAUGAUGGCUGAAUAUCCUCCUGUUAAUCCUCCACCCUUCUACACUUCUUAUGGUUACUAACAAUGGCCAGGGCUUUCGAUCAUAUUGGACAACAAAGAAUACGGUUGAGAUUCUCCUGUUUAUUGUCCCGACUUCAUCCCCUGUUGCUCACCAACAUUAAGAAUUCAUUGCUGAUAUUCAACACAGUUAUCGAGGGUCUUUCUCGUCUACAAACAAUAGCCUAAACUUCUUCCAAUAGCUACCAGUCAACUUUAUAGAUUCUUCAGCUUAUUUUAUAUAAUUUUCUAUUUGAGAAUGAUAUAAUGGAUUCUUUUAAUAAAAAUAAAAUUGGUUUUGUAUUGGCAAGCAUUAUGAAAUAAAAGUAGAAGAAUAAAAGAACUUUAGACAAAAAAGACAAAA